rnacentral:rRNA from 1 species
UACAGAGGUCUCAAGCGUUGUUCGGAUUCAUUGGGCGUAAAGGGUGCGUAGGCGGCGGGGCAAGUCGGAUGUGAAAUCUCAGGGCUCAACCCUGAAACUGCAUUCGAUACUGCCUUGCUCGAGGACUGGAGAGGAGAUUGGAAUUCACGGUGUAGCAGUGAAAUUCGUAGAUAUCGAGAGGAACACCGGUGGCGAAGGCGGUUCUCUGGGCCUUACCUGACGCUGAGGAGCGAAAGCGUGGGGAGCGAACAGG